AACUAACGCUGGCGGCGUGCCUAACACAUGCAAGUCGUACGAGAAAGCCGGCUUCGGCUGGUGAGUAAAGUGGCGCACGGGUGAGUAACGCGUGGAUAAUCUGCCCUUAAGUGUGGAAUAACGUACCGAAAGGUGCGCUAAUACCGCAUAAUGCCUGGCAACACAAGUUGUCCGGCCAAAGAAGGCCUCUGUUUACAAGCUUUCGCUUCAGGAUGAGUCCGCGUACCAUUAGCUUGUUGGUGGGGUAAUGGCCUACCAAGGCUGCGAUGGUUAGCUGGUCUGAGAGGAUGAUCAGCCACACUGGAACUGAGACACGGUCCAGACUCCUACGGGAGGCAGCAGUGAGGAAUAUUGCGCAAUGGGGGCAACCCUGACGCAGCAACGCCGCGUGAGUGAGGAAGGUUUUACGGACCGUAAAGCUCUGUCGAGUGGGAAGAAGUGUAUCAUGGCUAAUAUCCGUGAUAUUUGACGGUACCGCUAGAGGAAG
rnacentral:rRNA from 1 species